UACGUAGGGUGCGAGCGUUGUCCGGAAUUACUGGGCGUAAAGAGCUCGUAGGUGGUUUGUCGCGUUGUCCGUGAAAACUCACAACUCAAUUGUGGGCGUGCGGGCGAUACGGGCAGACUGGAGUACUGCAGGGGAGACUGGAAUUCCUGGUGUAGCGGUGGAAUGCGCAGAUAUCAGGAGGAAUACCAGUGGCGAAGGCGGCCUUCUGGACAGAUACUGACGCUGAGGCGCGAAAUCCAGGGGAGCAAACGGG
rnacentral:rRNA from 1 species